GGCCACCUGGCGAAAUGGCAUCGCGUCUGACUACGACUAAACAGCUACUUACGUAAUCAGGAGAUUGUAGGUUCGACCCCUACGGCGGUCA